AGGAUGAACGCUGGCGGCGUGCCUAAUACAUGCAAGUCGAGCGGUAAGGUUCUCACUUUGUAUUUAACUCGUUUGAAUACAGUGUGAGAAUACACGAGCGGCGGACGGCUGAGUAACGCGUAGGAACGUACCCCAAACUGAGGAAUAAGCUCCGGAAACGGAGUCUAAUGCCGCAUAAUAUCUUCGGAUUAAAGCUUCGGCGGUUUGGGAGCGGCCUGCGUAAGAUUAGCUUGUUGGUGAGGUAAAAGCUCACCAAGGCGACGAUCUUUAGCUGGUCUGAGAGGAUGACCAGCCAGACUGGAACUGAGACACGGUCCAGACUCCUACGGGAGGCAGCAGUAGGGAAUUUUCCACAAUGGACGAAAGUCUGAUGGAGCAACGCCGCGUGCAGGAGGAAGGUCUUCGGAUCGUAAACUGCUUUUAUUGUGACGAUUUUGACGGUAACAAAUGAAUAAGGGUCUGCUAACUACGUGCCAGCAGCCGC
rnacentral:rRNA from 1 species